GUCCUUUUGUUUUUUAUUUAAGGUCUGACCUGCUCACUGAUAGUUUUAAGAGCCGCGGUAUUUUGACCGUGCGAAGGUAGCAUAAUAAUUAGUUUUUUAAUUGUAAACUGGUAUGAAUGGUUGGACGAGAAAAGUUCUGUCUCUUUCUAAUUUGUUUGAAUUUUACUUUUAAGUCAAAAGGCUUAAAUUUUUUUAAAAGACGAGAAGACCCUAUAGAGUUUUAUUGAUUAUUUUCCUUUAAUUUUGGUAAUUUUAUUUUUGAAAGUUAAUUCAAUUUUGUUGGGGUGACUGUAAAAUUAAUUUAACUUUUAUUUUAUUUAUACACUUAUUUGUGAUUGUUUGAUCCAUUAGUUGAUUGAAAGAAUAAUUACCUUA
rnacentral:rRNA from 1 species